rnacentral:rRNA from 1 species
GUGUCAGCAGCCGCGGUAAUACGUAGGGUGCAAGCGUUGUCCGGAAUUAUUGGGCGUAAAGAGCUCGUAGGCGGUUUGUCGCGUCGGCUGUGAAAACCUGAGGCUCAACCUCGGGCCUGCAGUCGAUACGGGCAAACUAGAGUUCGGUAGGGGAGACUGGAAUUCCUGGUGUAGCGGUGGAAUGCGCAGAUAUCAGGAGGAACACCAAUGGCGAAGGCAGGUCUCUGGGCCGAAACUGACGCUGAGGAGCGAAAGCGUGGGGAGCGAACAGGAUUAGAAACCCCCGUAGUCC